rnacentral:rRNA from 1 species
GACGAACGCUGGCGGCGUGCUUAACACAUGCAAGUCGAACAGAAAGGCCCUGCUUUUGUGGGGUGCUCGAGUGGCGAACGGGUGAGUAACACGUGAGUAACCUGCCCUUGACUUUGGGAUAACUUCAGGAAACUGGGGCUAAUACCGGAUAGGAGCUCCUGCUGCAUGGUGGGGGUUGGAAAGUUUCGGCGGUUGGGGAUGGACUCGCGGCUUAUCAGCUUGUUGGUGGGGUAGUGGCUUACCAAGGCUUUGACGGGUAGCCGGCCUGGGAGGGUGACCGGCCACAUUGGGACUGAGGUACGGCACAGACUCCUACGGUAGGCAGCAGUGGGGAAGAUUGCACAAUGGGCGGAAGCCUGAUGCAGCAACGCCGCGUGCGGGAUGACGGCCUUCGGGUUGUAAACCGCUUUCGCCUGUGACGAAGCGUGAGUGACGGUAAUGGGUAAAGAAGCACCGGCUAACUACGUG